GUAGUUGCGUCCUAUGGUAGAUUAAUUUUAGCUUUUUGAGAAUUCUCCACGCUUGUUUCCAGAGGGGCUGGAUCAUUUUGCAAUCCCGCCAGCGGUAAGGUGUGUAAUGGAUAAUGAUUUUUCUGCUGCCCAAAAGCAUUUGCCCUAAAGGAGACACAACCUAAAGCAAAUGCCAAAUAAGAGAGAGACCGACGUUCUAACAUCGAGGUGAGGUUAUGCCUGUGUAUUUUCAGAAAAUGAAUGAAGUCCCAGAUAGCUGCUGAUCUGACGCAUCUGCCCAGGGCAUCCAGAGACCACCAAAUUAAUGAAACAUCUAAAGGCAGAUGACAAACCAACCUAUCAAUAGGAGGUAUCCCAGGAGGAAGAGUAAGCUGGUAACUUGGGGAGACACCAAGACUUUAACUCACAAAUCUGAGACUUUGAGGAAACAGCAAAGACAUUAUUAUACAACUGACUCCCCAAAUGAUGCUGUUCUAUUUAAUGACUGCAUUACAUUAGUUAUCAGCUUGUCUAUGCAGAAUCCAAAUGUUUUUUGUCAGGGGGUGAUAAAGACACACCUGUGACAGGAGACACAUGAUUGUUUUGCCGUGCUAAGGACUGUUUGUAAAGGGUCAUGUGGAACAGGCCAUAUUACACCCAUUUUGCUCAAUAAAUCUUUGCAA